GAUAGGUCAGAUGGGCCUUGGCCCGCAGCCGAACUGCAGAAAACUCCUCUCUCGACGUGCUGCUCCGACGCCCCUUCUCCUUCCCUUCGGCUGCGCGCCGCCCCUCCUCCGUCCCAUCAGACCGAGCGCCGCCCUCCUCCUUCCCCUCCGCCGCACGCCACCCUCCUCUCCCCUUCGUGCGAUGUAGCCCGAGGUGGACCCAAGGACGUCGGUGGGCUCUUCCGGCAGUUGGAGAACGGCGGAGGAAUUGGUCUUGCGGCGUGGGGAAGACGAUGGCGACGGCUCCGGAUGCAAGGGCAACCAAACAGGAGGCUGCAGCGAUUGCUCGCACCCGCCGCGCCUGGAUCCCGCGUGCUGCAGCCCUGCUGUGAUGCAGCCUGCGAACACGCCCAGAGUUUCCGCAGUUGGUAUUUGCAGUCCAAAUUUUUGUUUUGGAAGAGUUGUGCCCAAAUCUUUUUACUCCCUCCGUCCAACAAAAGAUGUCUCAAGUUUAUCAAAAAUUAAAUGUAUCUAGACAUGACUUAGUGUACAAAUACAUUCAAAUUUAGUUAAAGUUGAGACAUCUUUUGUUGGACGGAGGAAUACUUGUUUUAGUAUCUUUAUUGGAACUGGGAUUGAAAGUUUGAAGAGGAGCACCACUUGCCAACGAAAAUUUUAAUGUUUCACAUACCUCUUAUAUUAGCCAAAUAACUGGUGUCGUGAUUUUCUAACUUGCUAAUCAUCACGAAAAAUCAAAACAACUUUGGAUCAUUGUAUAAUAUCAAGAGUAUCGAGUUCCAAUCAGGACAGUAGAUCAGAAGCACUUCAUUUCUACUAAAACCCUAUGAAGAACGGUGGCUCGUUAUUUGCAGCCUCUUCUUGUUGCAUCUCAACCAAACGGAGGCAGAAUAAUGGUCGCCUGCAGCAUCUAAUGUGUGUGUGUGUGUUUUAGCACAGUCGCACAGACACAGUCCAGUUAAAAUAGCGAGCUGAGCCUGAGCAGGAACGUGUUCGGCGCAGCGCUUAGCAAAAUGCUCUCCCGAUUUUGGGCCAAGCCCGUUACAACUUGCCGGCUGCAAAUUUAGGAAACUGCUCUCUCGAGUAGACCUUCGCCGGCCCAUCCAUGAACACCCGUUCCUGGCUUCCUGCCCAGGUUCAGCUCGCCGCCGGUGCUUCUCCCCCUUUGCCUCUGCCGCCGCCGGUGUCGGCCUCCACCACCAUCGCCGCUGUUGCCCUCGGUAUGAGUUAUCAUAUGAACUGGGAAACGAUAAUGAGGAGAAAAAGGAAACGAAUGUGAGACCAUAAGAUGGGCUAUGGAAAGAGAUCUAUAAUAAGAUGCCGAUUUGCAUAACUGCUGUUGACAUCAGGACCAGAUGAAGAGUAACUACAGUUCAGGCCAUCCCACGCAAAUGCUUUCGGUGCACAAGGAUCACCUAUCCAGUUUUUCUUCAGCACAUAUGUCUUGCGAAUUUUCAUCAUGGACUCGGCUGUUCACACGGAAAAAGACAAGGUAUUUAUGAAAUCUUGCUUUAUGCUAUCCAAACAAAUAAUUCAAAACUUGUCCUGAACUUGACCCAAAUUAAGAUCAAUGACAAUGGCACACUGGAUUUAAGUG